GCUGGGGAGACGCUCAGGCAAGGAAUCUUUUAUAAAAGAAGCACACGUGGCCUGUAAGACUCAGGAAACGCAGCAGUGGACUCUUGAGAAAUCAUCCCUAUGGAGGGCUGCGGAAGCCGCGGCUCCUGCUGCUGCCACGGCGAUCUCCAUGAGUCCCAAGGAUUCGGUCCCCCAGGCUCGGGCGCCGCCUUGCGGCCAUACACUCCCUGCACCUCUCGGUCCCCGCUGAUGUGCGGGAUCUAAAUAGUGCCAGGCUGCGGUGCCCCCGACCCUCUUAAGAUCACCUGAGGCUCCUGUGCAGUAUCUGCACAGGCUUCAAGUCACACAUCUCUUGGGAAGCUGGGAAACAAGAUGGCACAGAGAAGAGUACAUUCUGGAGGUUCUGGCCAGCAGAGAAGGGAAGCACAGUUCUGCUCUGAUGCUACCCAAAGAGCAGGAAGAGAGACACUAGACUUUUUGGAAUCGGUUAGGAUCUCUGCAUCACUAUUCUCCUCUAAGUAAACAUUUGAGCAUUAAGGGCAACGAACUUCUGGCCUCAUUUCCUUGAAAUCUAGCUCUGCAGGUGCACAGGCUCCCUCCACACAGAGGUCUAGAAGGUCAAGUAGACUUAGUAGACUGCCCAUGCAUGUGAAGAGAUGACAGUACAGACUGGACCCCAGCAGUAAGACCUGGAGCUGACACUCCUGCACACUCUUGCAGCAGGUGUAUGGUGAACUCAGUCAAGUUGGAGACCAAAAUGUGAUGUUUCUCAAAGUGUGUGCCUCUGCCCUCUGUGUCUGCUCACCAUCAGAGAUUGUUAAACAUGCAAAUUCCUGGUGGGGCGUUGGUGGCAUACACCUUUAACCCCUGCACUCAGGAGAUAGAGGCAGGCAGAUCCCUGUGAGUUCAAGGCCAGCCUGUUCUACUGUCAAGUUCUCUAUAGCUGCACAGGGAGACCUUCCUUUGAAAAACAAACAAAAAUGCAAACUUCUACAACCCAGUGCACCUGUCUGCUAACCAGGAGUCUGCUCCUUUCGAUGGUCCCUCAGGCAUAGCACCAUCUAUAAGCUAGGUCUCUCUGUGAAGCUGUACUCUGCCGGGAACCAGGGAUGGCAAGGACACCAACAAUCUUUGAGGAGCCAGCAGUGUGCAGAUCUGAGACACAAACUAACAUCAUCAAAUGUACAGCUGGAAGUCAUGAUGCAGAAAGCAGCUUUGGGCUCCAGAGUCUCUGACACAUCAUAGAACCAAAGCAAAUGCUCUCAAUUCCCAGAAGUCAUUUCCCAAGAAUAACAAAGCACACAAGAAACCAAACACUAGGUUCCAGUGUCAGAUAGUCCAAAUACCAGAAAUACCUGUUACUAGCAAUACAGCCAUCAUACUUAAAGAAGUAAAAAUGAUGACGCUCAGAAACACACAAAAUAAUAAUAAUAAUAAUAAUAAUAAUAAUAAUGACUGAGAUGCACUUAACCAAAAUGAAAGUAAGGUGUGAAAGGUGUGAGAGACUAUGACAGAAGGAUUUCAAGUUUGAGACUAGCCUAGACCCUAGCUCAAAAAAUGCAAGUGUAUAUAUCCUUGAUAACUGACAUUUGAAAGUCAGUGUAUGGAUUUCAGUACAGCACCAUGAGGAUACUCACAGGUCACAAUACAUGAAGUAUUUCUUCAUAAGCCUGUUUUAAGGUUAGAGAGAAGGCUCAGCAGGUAAGCACACAUACUGCUUUUUAGAGGACCUGAGUUCAGAUCUCAGCACCCACACCAGGCAAUUCAGAACCAUCUGUAACUCCAGCUCCAGGGGAUCUAACACCUCUGACCUGUGGGAGCACCUGCACCAAGAGCAUCCAAAGGAAGCCAUCCCAUAUAGGAAGCAUAAGAGACAGGGCAAAAUGAAGACAAAUGUGGGGCCAGAGAGAUGGCUCAGCAGUUAAGAGCCCUGCCUGCUCUUCCAAAGGUCCUGAGUUCAAUUCUCAGCCACCACAUGGUGGCUCACAACCAUCUGUAAUAAGGUCUGGUGUCCUCUUCUGGCCUACAGGCAUACAUGCAGACACAACACUGUAUACAUAACAAAUAAGUAAAUCUUUAAAAAAAGUAAAGACAAAUCUAAAUGAACACUGACAGCAUGUAGUGAUUUUGUGAUAUUAAGUAGAAGUAUAGUUUAUAUGUGAAGAAUGACACAUGAGUAAGGAAGAGAUAAGGGAACACUUUCUAAGGCCACCCUCUCUGGGACAUGUCAUGCAAAACAGUGAAGUUCAGAUUUGGAUGUGUUUAUCUUGUAAAUUUCUACUGACCCCAAGAAAAGAGAAUCAGUAGAUGGGAGAAAGAGAUGAUGAAAAAGGAUACAGGCCUGGGGUCCAAGCAGAAAACACAAAUAAGAUAACAGAUGUAAACUAUUUUUAAUGUAAAGAUAUUACAUGUAAAAGAUAAUUUCAAACUCUUUUCUGUCUAGUAAUAUAUUGUUUAUAAGAAUUCAUAUCUAGGAUAAAGAGUCAAAGGCUGAAAAUAGAGAUUAAAAGUAAGUAUUAGCUGGGCAUGGUGUGGUCAUGCCCGUAAUCCCAGCCCUUGGGAGGUAAAGGAGAAAGGGUUUCUGUAAGCUCCAAAUCCAGGCAGAGCUAUAUGGUGUGAGACCCAUCUCAAAAACACAAUAAAUAAUAAAAAUAAGUAUCUGUAUACAAAUGUCAACCAGAAAGAAGUUAGUGGAUUACAUUCCUAGUCAGCAAGCUACAUUUUAAAGUUAAAAAUUAUAAUUAAUGGAUUAAAUUAAUCUGUUUCAUAGGAAAGAAUUCAUAACAAUUUUAAAAGUGCAUUUACUGAAAAACAGUAUCAAAAUUAAGCAAAAGGAACACACAAGACAGUAAUGAGAAGAAAUGAGACAUGUCCAUAUGGAAGCAUUGAAGAAACCCUCCAGUAGCUGAUAGAACAAACAAACAAACAAACAAAGGAAUUCAAUGACAACAACAGGAUUUCAGGAACACACAAAUGACAGGUGAUGUAGUGGGCAUUAGUAGAACUCCCAUAUGAAAUCUGAACACAAGAAGCACUUGAAAAUCCUGUCUGUCCACCACACUGACUGCAAGCUCCAAGAGCAGAAAGAUGACAACACCCCAGAGCAUGUGCCCUGGUCAUGCUAGAGUUCAGAGACAAAGAGAUAAGCAAAACCACAGGUCUGGAAAUUAAGAAACACUUCCAAGUAAGUAUGAGUCAAAAUCUCAUAACGCCAAUUUGAACGUAUCUUGGACUGAAUAAUUCAAAUAUCUUACAUUAUAACAUAAAGCAACUCAUAAAGGAAAAAUUGCAGUCCCAAAACAACAAAACUGAUUAUCCUAGAAGACAGUGUCAUCCAACUCACAGAUAAAAACUAGGCUUGGCCAAUAUGACAGUUUGAAUACAAUUGUCCCCCAUAAUCUCAUAGGGAGUGACACUAUUAAGAAUUGUGGCUUUGUUGGAGUGUGUAUGGUUUUGUUGGAGGAAGUGUGUCACUGUGGGGGUGGGCUUUUAGGUUUCCUAUGCUCCGCAUACCACCCAGCGUCUCAGUCAAUUUCCUGUUGCCUGCAAGAAGCAGGACUCUCAGCCACUACUCUAGCACUGUUUGUCUGCAUACUUCCAUGUUCUCCGCUAUGAUGAUAAUGGCCUGAACCUCUGAAACUGAAAUUGAGCUGCAACCCCAAUUAAAUGUUUUCCAUUAUAAGAGUUGCAGUGGUCAUGGUGCCUCUUCACAUCAAUGGAAACCCUAAUUAAGACAACAGCACACUGUAUAACAGUUUCCCACAUUGUGUAACAGUUUCCUCUGAGAUUUAACAUUCCAUCUGGAGGGGAAGCUCUUUCAACAAAAAGUAAACAACUCAAAAUAGCCUCAGGAAGCCCCUGAAACUGACCAGAAUUACUACACCCUUCUCUGCCAGAUGAAAUGAAGCUGAGCUGAAAAGAACAUUCUCAGACCAACUGAGCUGCCAAGAAGACUCUAGAAGCUCAGCUGCAAAUGCAAGCCAAAGACUACUCUCAGACCAGAACAGGUGCCUGGAAGAGGUUUCAACCAGAGUCAGUAAGAAAGGACACCCUCCAACCUGUUAGCUGCCGGCAGGUUUCCCAGCUUUAGUGAGUUUUGUCACCCAGGCUGGGGCUUGGGUGGGCCUUGGUAAUGCAGCUGCCAUUUCUGCUCUUGUAACCCCUCACCCAUACUCCUGUGACUCCAAUAAAACUAAUUGGCUCACCAA